rnacentral:rRNA from 1 species
GAUGAACGCUGGCGGCGUGCCUAAUACAUGCAAGUCGAGCGAACAGACGAGGAGCUUGCUCCUCUGACGUUAGCGGCGGACGGGUGAGUAACACGUGGAUAACCUACCUAUAAGACUGGGAUAACUUCGGGAAACCGGAGCUAAUACCGGAUAAUAUAUUGAACCGCAUGGUUCAAUAGUGAAAGACGGUUUUGCUGUCACUUAUAGAUGGAUCCGCGCCGCAUUAGCUAGUUGGUAAGGUAACGGCUUACCAAGGCGCCGAUGCGUAGCCGACCUGAGAGGGGGAUCGGCCACACUGGAACUGAGACACGGUCCAGACUACUAAGGGAGGCAGCAGUAGGGAAUCUUCCGCAAUGGGCGAAAGCUAGACGGAGCAACGCCGCGUGAGUGAUGAAGGUCUUCGGAUCGUAAAACUCUGUUAUUAGGGAAGAACAAAUGUGUAAGUAACUAUGCACGUCUUGACGGUACCUAAUCAGAAAGCCACGGCUAACUACGUG